AACCACUUCGGUGGUCAUCCGUAAAAAUUGGAACGAUACAGAGAAGUUUAGCAUGGCCCCUGCGCAAGGAUGACACGCAUAAAUCGAGAAGUAUCGCACUUUUUG
rnacentral:snRNA from 1 species